CUGCGGCCAAAACCAAAACUAAGCAAGAAGAGCAACCCCACCCGCCAGCCAAAUCCAACCAUUCCCCUCCACCAUUUCCAAAUCACUGCCACCCACACCUACCUCACCUGCACAGCUACCUCCUUCACCUCUCUUUGCCCUGUACCAUGGCCUCUGGCGUCAGGGAUUGAAGCCCCUGCGCCCACCAUUGCCACCACCCGCCACCACCCACCUCACCAUUGACGCCCACC
rnacentral:lncRNA from 1 species